rnacentral:rRNA from 1 species
AUUGAACGCUGGCGGCAGGCUUAACACAUGCAAGUCGAGCGGAGCGAGGGUGCUUGCACCUUAGCUUAGCGGCGGACGGGUGAGUAAUGCUUAGGAAUCUGCCUAUUAGUGGGGGACAACAUUCCGAAAGGAAUGCUAAUACCGCAUACGCCCUACGGGGGGAAGCAGGGGAUCUUCGGACCUUGCGCUAAUAGAUGAGCCUAAGUCGGAUUAGCUAGUUGGUUGGGGAAAGGCCUACCAAGGCGACGAUCUGUAGCGGGUCUGAGAGGAUGAUCCGCCACACUGGGACUGAGACACGGCCCAGACUCCUUAGGGAGGCAGCAGUGGGGAAUAUUGGACAAUGGGCGGAAGCCUGAUCCAGCCAUGCCGCGUGUGUGAAGAAGGCCUUUUGGUUGUAAAGCACUUUAAGCGAGGAGGAGGCUACUUAGAUUAAUACUCUGGGAUAGUGGACGUUACUCGCAGAAUAAGCACCGGCUAACUCUGUGCCAGCCGCCGCGGUAAUAC